UACGUAGGGGGCAAGCGUUGUCCGGAUUUAUUGGGCGUAAAGAGCGUGUAGGCGGCCACACAGGUCAGCUGUGAAAACUCGAGGCUCAACCUCGAGACGUCGGUUGAAACCGUAUGGCUAGAGUCCGGAAGAGGAGAGUGGAAUUCCCGGUGUAGCGGUGAAAUGCGCAGAUAUCGGGAAGAACACCCGUGGCGAAGGCGGCUCUCUGGGACGGUACUGACGCUGAGGAGCGAAAAGCGUGGGGGAGCGAACAGG
rnacentral:rRNA from 1 species